GGCCCGCAGGCGAAAUGAAAGUGAAGGGCGACCUUGUCGUCGCCUGCGUUGGGAUCCCCGGACAACAGAGUCUGGGGCGCACCAACGGCCCGUCCCGUCCGCAACGUCGGUGGGACGGAGCGAGAGCGUACACGUUGGGACCCGAAAGAUGGUGAACUAUGCCUGGGCAGGACGAGGCCAGAGGAAACUCUGGUGGAGGUCCGCAGCGAUUCUGACGUGCAAAUCGAUCGUCAGACCUGGGUAUAGGGGCGAAAGACUAAUCGAACCGUCUAGUAGCUG
rnacentral:rRNA from 2 species